rnacentral:lncRNA from 1 species
GGUUUUAAAUUUUGGGUUCAAGGAAUUGAAUUUCUAGUGUUUUGAAAAUUGUUUUGAUCUUUGGAGUUUUUGGAAUUUGGGAACUUUAAAUUUCUUAAUUCUGUUUAAUUUUUUUAUUUGAUUUUUGGAAGUUUCUGAUUUUUGGGUAGAUUUUUGUGUUCUGGGUUUGUGUUUUGUUUUUCUAGAAAAUUUUGGGUUUUUUGCUUGGAUAGUUGAGAUUUUUAGGUUCUAGGUUGAAUUUUUCAUUGAAGAUUUAAAUUUUCUAAUGGAUUUUGUAGCUGUUAAAGGAAGGGAAGGUGGCUAGAUUAUGAGUUUGUGAACUUUUCUGAAAAUUUUGAAUUUUCUAACAGCCAAUUGAAUUUCUUGAUGUCGAAACAUAAAUUAGGGCUAGCUGGUUGAAUUUAUCAGUCAUGGUUUUCUAAAGAAAAAGGAGAGAAAACUAACUUAAAAA